UAAAUACCAAAAUACUAUAUAAAAGAAACUAAAUCGUACCGAAAUAACAAAAGAACCGAAUUUAACUAAAUCGAUUCAGUUCAUCAAUUUUUAGUAAAGCCUAAUACGCACAAAACAAUGCCGUUCCAAGUCUUUGUGGACUUUAGAGCAUGAGCAACAAAGAAAGUUUGAACAAAUUUUAAUCCCGCAGCAACCCAAAAUAUGAAGAACCGAAGAAUUUGAGGAAUGUAAUGUGAUAAGUGUGUGAUAAGGGUGUGCCUAGAAGGCGACGAACUGAAGACCGCCAAGACAUGCAUUGAUGGGCGCGCAGGUCGAUGGUGGUGAAGGAAGAGUCAAGAGAGAGAGAGAGAGAGAG
rnacentral:misc_RNA from 1 species